UCUCUCUGAAAGCCAUAUACUCUCCUUCAAUUAUGCAGUGUAUGUCUGGCUUUUCUUCUCCCAAUCUUCAUGCUUUCGAAUGCUUCAUAUGCUUUGCUUUUGUCGGCUUGAGGGAUUGAAGCUUUCAGAUCACAUGAUAUGCUUUGAUUUAAUUUGUUGGUGUGAGGGGAUGAAGCUGCCAGCAUGAUCUGUUCAAUUAUGUCUAUACAUACCAAGCCUAGCCGGUUCAGUUCAAAAAAAACAACUUUUUUGCUUAUAAUUUCUCUUUCGUUUUUUUAUCAUUCUUCUCUUCUGUUUUGCCUCUCAAAUAUCUUAGCUACUUUUCUUAAUUUGCAUGUUCUCUCUCUCUCCCUCUAUCUCUUUGACCCUGUUUCAUAUUGGUGUGGUUCAAAGAUCAGAUCAUGUUGCAGCUUCAAUCACUCACCAUCAACAAAGGGCUCUUUUAGAGUGCGUUGGAUUUUCUGAUCGUCUGAUUUGCAUCACAUAUGGUUCAGAUUCUGGCAAUUCGUGAGGAAUUGACAAGGAAUCGCCAACGAUGAGACUGAAAUAAUUUUGAGCACAGUGAGCAUGUCUUUUCAUGCGAGUAAUUAAUAUCUUUUCAUGAUGACAUUUAGGUUUUGCAGGUUAAAUUUAGUAUGUUUCAAAUCAAAUAAAAAUAUAUUGUAUGUUGUAUAUAGUGUACAGAUUCUUAUAUAAUAUGUAUAAUAUUGUUGUGUAUAAAGUAUGGAUGCAUCAGAAUUCUGCAUGUAAUAUUCUCUUCAAAAUGAAAAAAAGAAAUUAUGCA